UUAAUGUCCGGGAGAGUGGCCCUCCGCAUGGAGGGUUGACUAGAGACUUAUCGGUAUGGGAUGAGCUUGCGUCCGAUUAGCUAGUUGGCGGGGCAACGGCCCACCAAGGCGACGAUCGGUAGCCGGCCUGAGAGGGUGAUCGGCCACAUUGGGACUGAGAUACGGCCCAGUCUCCUACGGGAGGCAGCAGUAGGGAAUAUUGCACAAUGGGGGAAACCCUGAUGCAGCAACGCCACGUGUGGGAAGAAGCAUUUCGGUGUGUAAACCACUGUCAUGAGGGAAUAAGGCCCGCCUCCGGGCGGGAUUGAAUGUACCUUGAGAGGAAGCACCGGCAAACUUCGUGCCAGCAGCCGCGGUAAUACGGGGGGUGCAAGCGUUGUUCGGAAUUACUGGGCGUAAAGGGAGCGUAGGCGGAGAUUCAAGCGGAUUGUACAAUCCCGGGGCCCAACCCCGGCUCUGCAGUCCGAACUGGAUCUCUUGGAUAGUUCAGGGGCAGGCGGAAUUCCUGGUGUAGCGGUGGAAUGCGUAGAGACCAGGAAGAACACCGAUGGCGAAGGCAGCCUGCUGGGGACUUAUCGACGCUGAGGCUCGAAAGUGCGGGUAGCAAACAGGAUUAGAUACCCUGGUAGUCUGCACCGUAAACAAUGCAUACUGGGUGUCCGGGGGUUCCCCCGGGUACCGUAGCCAACGCGUUAAGUAUGCCGCCUGGGGAGUACGUACGCAAGUAUGAAACUCAAAGGAAUUGACGGGGGCCCGCACAAGCGGUGGAGCAUGUGGUUUAAUUC
rnacentral:rRNA from 1 species